AGUAAGAAAACUAGCACAUUCAAAUCAUUGGAGGCUUGCUCUAUUGAUUGUUUGCUUAUUUGGGGAGCAAAAUAUUUUCCUUAGUACCUUGUUAGAUAGCAUGAGAAUUGUAAUUUGAGAUUGAUCAUAACCCAUUGAGGGUAAUCAUUCAUUUUCUUUAGAAAAUUUUCUAAUAUAGUUGAAUUACCAUGUAAAUAUAGUUUGCUUGUAUGUUUCCUAGUCAGUGAUAGGUGUCGAACAGUGUCCAAAUAUAAGCUUUCGUUGUCCAAAUAGGUGAAGUUGAAUGGUCAAAUUGUUUUGAGGGAAUAUCUAAUGCAAAGUGCAAUGAAAAUGUUCUUUUUGAACUUUACAUAAGUUUGGAUAUCUUGGUUAGGGUCAUAGAUUAAAUACCAACAAUGGGAUCUUACCUAUCAGUUUGAAUUUUUGAUGUGGCUUCUAGAUCACGAUAUUAUUUAACUUGAGAUUGUGCCAAGUGAGCCAAGUGUCUUGAGUUCAAAUUCCUUGGCUUUAAUGUUAAAUCAAAAUAAGUAUUAAGGGAGGAAAAAUAUAAGUUAUAUAGGGUUUACAAGUGAAAUAAAGAAAGGAAAAUAUUCUAACAUUAGCAAAGCUAAUCACUUACUGCACUAAAAAGAAUAGCCAAUCAUGCAAAUGAAUAAAGACUUUAAUUGACUACAAGUUUCAAAAGUGGCUUUCCGCAGUCAGUUCUAAAUGCUAUUGAAUUUUAGUCAAGGUCCCAAAAAUUAUGUUGAAACUUUCUCUUUUAACGCUAUCUCUGGGUUUUUGACGUCCAUAACAUAAUAAAUUAUUUAUUUACACUCAGUUAUUUUGAUACAGCUAUAUAUGUGGAGCAACGAUAAAUGGGAAAAGCUAAAAUCCAGGUUCAUACAAGCACUAGUUGGCCAACAAUCCCCUCUGGUCGGAGAAACUAAAGUCCAGUUUCAUAAUGAUCAAACACAUCUAUUGGUGGUUCAUGAUAGCCAAAUUUCCAUUUAUGACAGCAAACUCGAAUGUUCACGUUCUGUAUGUUUUGCUUCCAUCUCAUCUUGUUUUAGUGUGUCAUCAGUUUGCUCUCUCUCUUUAAGUAAACUUACCAUAUGAUAACUUAUAUGACCAUGAUCUCAAUUCAAUUAAAUUCUGUGGAAACAUAGCACCAUGAUAAUAUAGGUUAAUGAGAACCGAAUCACAUAUUCUUGUUAGCAUAAAAGAUUAAGUUAUUUAGCUUAUUAUCACCACUGUACAAAUUCCACCUUGACCAGCUAGAGUAAAGCCUACUAGAAUUUGGCAAAUGUUAAUAUACCCUUAUGCUAUGUAUUUAUGACUUGUAUUCGUCUCCAAGAGAUACACUCCCUGCUUCCAUUUCAAGUGCAAUAUAUUCAUGUGAUGGUUUAAUGGUGUAUGCCGGUUUUUGUGAUGGUGCUGUUGGAGUUUUUGAUGCGGGCAAUUUAAGGCUCUGAUGUAGAAUAGCACCUUCUGCUUACAUACCUUCCUUCACUGGGUAAGUAUAUAAAAAUCACUUCAAAGGUUUCAAAAUUUUUUCAUUAAUUUCCUUGUAUCAAAAUCUCGAAGCAAUAUAUAUAAUCCAUCCUUCACUGACUGUAUAUUCAGCAGCAGCAGCACUACCACCUAUCCUUUUGUUACAACAGCUCAUCCAUCUGAGCCUAAUCAAAUUGCUCUUGGCAUGAAAGAUGGAGCAGUGCACGUAAUGCCAUCGGUUGCUAAUUAAAGAAGUUUUUCAAAAUUGGUUACAAGCUAGACAAAUUUCCUCCCCAGUAACAAUCUUCUGCUUAUACAAGCCAAGACGAUCUGCAUAUAGCGGGAAUGACUAAACGGAAUACUUGAUUUUUCUGCCCAAUGUCUUGAUGUUGGAGAUUGGGGAGGUAGGUUUCCUUGAGUUUAAUUCAGUGAAGUUUUAGAUGUAGCUACUAAAUCCAUUCUCACAAGUAAUUGACCAGUAUGUAAGUAUAUAUUUGUUUUUCUCUCUGUUUGGAUAUGGUGAUGGAGGUCAGUUAAAGGGAGGAGGCAGGAAUUGGUUAGCCAGCCCUUGCCCUCAUGUUUGACUGAUGAUCUCCAAAUUCACUGGACGUUCUAAUUCAAUUGGAAGGGUUGCCUUCGUGGGAAAGCACUCGGGAGAAGUUUGAUUCAAUAGCCAUCACUUUCCCUUUAACUUUGAAGACAAAAUGAAACUCGUUGGGGGUAUUCAUAGACCUUGGAUCACCAAGGUGUACCAAAGAAAGGGCAGCAAAAGAAUUGCACCACAAGCUGAAGUGGAGGCAGUUGAAGCUGAGGCCAGGAGCUGCAAACAUGUGGCAGGAUAUCGUAACAGAUAACAUAUUUGAAUUGGGUUGUUGGCAGGAUAACAAAGCAGGUAAUACAUUUGAAUUGGGCUGUUGGCUGGAAAAUGGGACGAUAACACAUUUUGAAAGGAGCUGCUGGACUCAUAAAUAAAAAUGAAGAAGCUGAGGAAGUCAUCAAGGAAAAAGUAGAGGGGAUUUAGGGAGGUUUUUUGGGGGCUCCGGCCAAGAGGAACUGGCUCCCCUGUUGCCAGUAUUCAUUUAUGCAUUGUUGGUUGUUCAUUUCAGAAUAAUUUUAGUCAAGCUAUUGGCUGUAACUUUGCUUAGUUCAAUCAAUGAAAGCACUUUUCAUUUAA